AGCACCGAGGUGUUAACACAUCAGAUUGCAAACCUGAAGUAGCAGGAUAACACCUGCCGGGGCUU
rnacentral:tRNA from 1 species